rnacentral:rRNA from 1 species
CAAUAGCGUAUAUUAAUGUUGUUGCAGUUAAAAGCUCGUAGUUGGAUUUCUGGUGGGAGUGGCCGGUCCGCCGUAAGGUGUGUACUUGGUUGUCUCCCGUCAUCCUUGUGGGAACUGCUCUGGCAUUAAGUUGUCGGGUUAGGGAACACAUCGUCUACUGUGAAAAAAUUAGAGUGUUCAAAGCAGGCGUUUUGCUUGAAUAUAUUAGCAUGGAAUAAUGGAAUAGGACGCUGGUUCUAUUUUGUUGGUUUGAGAACCAGAGUAAUGAUUAAUAGGGACAGUGGGGGCAUUCAUAUUUCAUUGUCAGAGGUGAAAUUCUUGGAUUUAUGAAAGAUGAACUUCUGCGAAAGCAUUUGCCAAGGAUGUUUUCAUUAAUCAAGAACGAAAGUAAGGGGAUCGAAGACGAUUAGAUACCA